rnacentral:rRNA from 1 species
CACCUCUUGAUAAGAGGCCCAGCCUGCCCAGUGAUAUUCAACGGCCGCGGUAUCCUAACCGUGCAAAGGUAGCGUAAUCACUUGUCUUCUAAAUAAAGACUAGUAUGAAAGGCACCACGAGGAUUAAACUGUCUCCUUUUUCUAAUCAGUGAACCUAACCCCCCCGUGAAGAAGCGGGGAUAAAUCUAUAAGACGAGAAGACCCUAUGGAGCUUAAAACAGUAUUACACGUGCACGCUGAUUACAUGUUUUUGGUUGGGGUGACCGCGGAGAAUAAACUAACCUCCACGAUGAAAAAUAACAAGUCACAACUUUACCCAUCAAUAAAUUGACACACAUUGACCCAAAUAUUUUGAUCAACGAACCAAGUUACCCUAGGGAUAACAGCGCAAUCCACUUUAAGAGCCCCUAUCGACAAGUGGGCUUACGACCUCGAUGUUGGAUCAGGGUAUCCCAGUGGUGCAGCCGCUACUAAAGGUUCGUUUGUUCAACGAUUAAAACCCU